UCUAAGGCCAUAAUCACCCUAAGUACACUCAACCUCAUCUGAUCUCAGGAGCUAAGCAAGGUUGGGCGUGGCUAGUACUUGGUUGAAAGUUUAUUUUGUUUACCAUGGUGUUUCUGUAA
rnacentral:rRNA from 1 species